rnacentral:lncRNA from 1 species
GAAAAGCACGCAGCAACGAGAAGAGAGUGAUUGCAGCAAAAGACCGUCCAGGUAUGCUCCUUGUUACUCUCAAUGUUCCUAUCCCUAUUCAAUUUCUCCACUUGGUCGUCUUUUCGUUUUAAUAUUUUUUAUAUUGUUGAUUGGUGUGGACGGAAAGGGCUACUAAGAUUGCUGUGUUGAAGUUGAUUCCUGUUAUUCAUUAUGCUCUCAUUCAUAUUCCUUUCUUCUUUAAUCUCUUACUGAUUCCAAGACGCCAUUUAUAUCAGCAUGAACAUCAUGAUCACUAACUCGUUUGUUUGCUGAAUCUGAUUGCUUGUGAUUGUUUGUCU